CCCGCACAAGCAGCGGAGCAUGUGGUUUAAUUCGAAGCAACGCGAAGAACCUUACCUAGACUUGACAUCUCCUGAAUUACCCGUAACUGGGGAAGCUCUUCGGAGCAGGAAGACAGGUGGUGCAUGGUUGUCGUCAGCUCGUGUCGUGAGAUGUUGGGUUAAGUCCCGCAACGAGCGCAACCCUUAUCGUUAGUUGCUACCAUUAGGUUGAGCACUCUAGCGAGACUGCCCGGGUUAACCGGGAGGAAGGUGGGGAUGACGUCAAAUCAUCAUGCCCCUUAUGUCUAGGGCUACACACGUGCUACAAUGGUGAGGACAAAGAGACGCAAGACCGCGAGGUGGAGCAAAUCUCACAAACCUCAUCCCAGUUCGGAUUGCAGGCUGAAACUCGCCUGCAUGAAGCCGGAGUUGCUAGUAAUCGCGAAUCAGCAUGUCGCGGUGAAUACGUUCCCGGGCCUU
rnacentral:rRNA from 1 species